GACAAAGUCAGGCACACUAGUGCACAGCCCCACUGAGACAGCCGCUCCCUCCUGCAGGGCAGACUCUGCGCAGAGCCGCACACCCGAAGGAGACCUCAGAGAGGAGUGAGGAAAAUCCACCUCCGCCCUCAGCACCUGUUCGGUUUUGCCAGAACAGGAUGAAGAGGAGCAACUUGACCAGCGUCUCUAAAGGAUGUGGUGCAGACAAUCUGUCAGUGCCAAAUUACAGUGGAUACUUCAAUAAGUGACACAUGGAAGUACCAAAAAUAUGUAUGUCAACUGAAGCAGAGAUAAUGGCAACCACAGCCCAAUACAAACAUGGGUUGACAAUGACCUCAUCACACCUGCCUCCCGAUCAAGGACAACGGCAAAAAGCUACCAAUUUUGAGGAUUCAAGGAUGUUAAAAUGGGAGAGAAGUGUCCCUUUUAGGAACGCUGAAAUACAGAGUAAAACAACAGAGAGCUGUGAGGACUGGGAGCCCAAGUACACACUGGACUGACAACAUCCUUAGUAGUAGUACAGUGCUGCCCACAAACACAGCGGUGAGGCGGGCUUGGCCCACA